rnacentral:rRNA from 1 species
UGAGUGAAGAAGGCCCUUGGGUCGUAAAGCUCUUUCGGGCUGGGGAAGAAGGGCUUCACGGUGAACAAUCGUGGAGUCUGACGGUACCAGAAGAAGAAGCACCUGCUAACUACGUGCCAGCAGCAAGCGGUAAUACGUAGGGUGCUAGCGUUGUUCGGAAUUACUGGGGCGUAAAGCGCGCGUAGGCGGGUCCGUAAGUCGAUUGUGAAAGCCCUGGGCUUAACCUGGGAAUUGCAGUCGAAACUGCGGAUCUUGAGUGCCUGAGAGGAUGGCGGAAAUUCCCGGUGUAGUAGUGAAAUACGUAGAUAUCGGGAAGAACACCUGAGGCGAAGGCGGCUAUCUGGCGGUGCACUGACGCUGAUGCGCGAAAGCGUGGGGAGCAAACAGGAUUAGAUACCCUGGUAGUCCACGCCGUAAACGAUGGAUACUAGGUGUCCGGGAUGUUAACCUCCUGGGUACCGUAGCUCACGCAUUAAGUAUCCCGCCUGGGGAGUACGGUCGCAAGGCUG